CCAAACCUGGUUGAUCCUGCCAGUAGUCAUAUGCUCAUGUCAAAGAUUAAGCCAUGCAUGUCUAAGUAUAAACAACUUUGUACUGUGAAACUGCGAAUGGCUCAUUAAAUCAGUUAUAGUUUAUUUGAUGAUACUUUACUACAUGGAUAACUGUGGUAACUCUAGAGCUAAUACAUGCACGAAAGCCCGACUUCU
rnacentral:rRNA from 1 species